AACGAACGCUGGCGGCAGGCUUAACACAUGCAAGUCGAACGCAUCCUUCGGGGUGAGUGGCUGACGGGUGAGUAACGCGUGGGAACGUGCCCUUCAGUUCGGGAUAACCCAGGGAAACUUGGGCUAAUACCGGAUACGUGCGAGAGCAGAAAGAUUUAUCGGUGAAGGAUCGGCCCGCGUCUGAUUAGCUAGUUGGUGGUUUAAUGGCCCACCAAGGCGACGAUCAGUAGCUGGACUGAGAGGAUGAGCAGCCACAUUGGGACUGAGACACGGCCCAAACUCCUCCGGGAGGCAGAAGUGGUGAAUAUUGGACAAUGGGCGCAAGCCUGAUCCAGCCAUGCCGCGUGAGUGAUGAAGGCCUUAGGGUUGUAAAGCUCUUUCGUCCGGGACGAUAAUGACGGUACCGGAAGAAGAAGACCCGGCUAACUUCGUGCCAGCCGCCGCGGUAA
rnacentral:rRNA from 1 species